AGAGGGUGAAACUCCCGUCCGCCUGGUAGAAUGAGUCUUUGUCAACGAGUCGAGUUGUUUGGGAUUGCAGCUCUAAUUUGGUAGUAAAUUCCACCUAAAGCUAAAUAUUGGUGGGAGACCGAUAGCGUACAAGUACCGUGAGGGAAAGAUGCAAGGAACUUUGAAAAGAGAGUUAAAGAGUACCUGAAAUUGCUGAAACGGAAGCGAAGGAAACCAGUGUUUGUUGGUUCAUAUUUCCCUGGCCACUUGUGGUUUGGGCGCUGUGGGCUUGCGUGAGUUUGGGUUGGUUGAUUCCUUUGGAAGAGCGCAGUCAGAGUUGAUGUCU
rnacentral:rRNA from 1 species